rnacentral:rRNA from 1 species
AGUGAACGCUGGCGGUAGGCCUAACACAUGCAAGUCGAACGGCAGCACAGUAAGAGCUUGCUCUUACGGGUGGCGAGUGGCGGACGGGUGAGGAAUACAUCGGAAUCUACUUUUUCGUGGGGGAUAACGUAGGGAAACUUACGCUAAUACCGCAUACGACCUACGGGUGAAAGCAGGGGAUCUUCGGACCUUGCGCGAUUGAAUGAGCCGAUGUCGGAUUAGCUAGUUGGCGGGGUAAAGGCCCACCAAGGCGACGAUCCGUAGCUGGUCUGAGAGGAUGAUCAGCCACACGGGAACUGAGACACGGUCCAGACUCCUACGGGAGGCAGCAGUGGGGAAUAUUGGACGAUGGGCGCAAGCCUGAUCCAGCCAUACCGCGUGGGUGAAGAAGGCCUUCGGGUUGUAAAGCCCUUUUGUUGGGAAAGAAAAGCAGCAGGUUAAUACCCCGCUGUUCUGACGGUACCCAAAGAAUAAGCACCGGCUAACUUCG